rnacentral:piRNA from 1 species
UGAUUCUCUUGGUAUCUGCCCACUUC